GCCUCUAUUGGUAUUCUGGACAGUUUGGUUUAAGUGGCAUUGGUUAUUGGCUGUUAUCAAGGAAGUAAUGUUCACUGUAAAAGUGGUUUUAUACAUUUUACAUUGAAGUUCCACUACAGAAUCGAAUAGAUUUAUUUAUUUUUAUUUAUUUAUUAAAGGAAAUACAAUAAUAAAUAAUUAUACUACCUAUAAAAUAUAACAGCACUAGCGACAAGGCUUUCAGCUGUAAGAUUAAUUCGCGUUAUCAUAGAAAGUUUACGUGCAUUACCGGCCAAAGUUAUACAUAUAUGGGUUUACUAUCGCUUAAAUGGUAUUUCGGAUUGAGGAUGUUAAUAUGUCAAUCCAAAUAUAACUCAAAAAUAUUAAUAUAAUGUGGGCGCGUGUAGAUUAAAAAUAUGUCUACAACUUCUAAAUCGAAAAUUGUGUAUACAAAUGAGAAGAGCUCUAAAUAUUUAGUAACACGAAUGAAUUGUUUUCCGUUUGAUUUUGCCAUGGUAAAUUUGUUUUAAAUUACAAGGUGCGCAUUCAAAACUAGAGGACCCCGUCCACGCGUUGCUGUGGCUAAGGUAUACAUUAAUUACAUACUAUUCAAUGCAGUAAAAUUGUACAUAUGAAAUAAAACGAAAACGUUAAUUCCAGUGAAAGAAUAACCAAGCAGAUCACUUCCAAAAGUUGAAAAUGAUUAAUACUAAUUUCCUUCGAUUUGUUAUUAAACACAAAUAAACAUAAAAUAUAAUAUGUUGAUUUUUUAAUUUUAUAUUCAAGUAUGAAAAAAAUUUGUAAUUUUCAAAGUUAGUAGAUAACGUUUGAAAUAAUGAAAGAGGUUGAUCGUUCUUAAUUUUUAACAGUAAUAUUUAUAGUUUUUAAUUAUAAACAUUUUCAAAUUCAAUUAAUUAAGCUCUAUUUGUAUCGUACGUUCUGACAGUUGGAAAACGUGGUAAGAGAACCAUUUCUCCAUUAAAUUUUUCAGUCAAAAUAAUUGCUACAAUAGUAUUUAUUGUAAUCUUUUUGAUUUUCGAAGUUGUACCGUUGCAUAAUUGAGGUGAAUUGAAAUAAUUUUCAUCCAAAGAUUAACUGAUGUCAUUCCGAAUAUAUCUAGAUAAUUCACGUUUUCAUUCAUAUUAAAAACAGUAGCGAAUUAUUUAAAAUUUUAUGCUAUCCCCUCAUCAAUUUAAAGCCAAAUCGGUUAAGCCGUUAAUAAGUUAAAAAUAUUGUAGCUAACUCUUCAUUUCGAGCUUCACGUUGCUCAUCAGUAUAUCUUUGACUUGCAGUAUUUCGUUUUAUGCGGCCUAAGUUUGUACGUCUGCUUGGUGACAUUUUUAAAAACGAAAAUCCAACUGAAAAUAAAAAAUUACUCUCUUAUAUUUUCUGUUUAACCGUGUAUACCAAAUUUUAAUAUUGUGUAGUCAUCAAAAGUUACCAAAAAUCGAUAUUAAGCUGCGUACUUACCGUGAUUAACAAACACUUAUUAGCAAACAACAAACUUCUUAAUCUUUAAAACAAAACAAACUUUAUCAAAAACUUAAUAAAAUUAUUGUUAGCGCUAUGUUAGGUUAUGUGUGUCAGAUUAGCACAGAUUACUUAAUAGGUUAUGCGAAAUUUGUAUACUGCGUUUUGAAAUCUAACACAUAGUAUACAUAUUUUAUUAUUAUUAAAUACUUACAUUAAAAUGAAAUAAACACUGGUAUUAUUAAUAUUACCGUCAAAGUCGGUACAUUUAAUUGUGGCGAGUAAUUUUCAAAUAUAAGUAAAUUAGUGCGAUAUAACAAACACGAACAAACGAUGCUCUUUCAAUAUAGUCUAUGGCUGUGAAUGACAUUCGUUACGCGCGUUUUUUAAAAUAUGCAAAUUAGAUGUAUUUUUUCAAUAUUUCUGAGACAGUUUCUUAAUAUUUUUUUCCGUAAGAACCUUCUACAGAGUAUUAGAAAACCACAAAAAAAAAGCCAAAUCGGUCUAGCCGUUCUCAAGUUAUGGCGUGACAACGGGAAACGGGUUUAAUUUUUAUAUAUAUUGAUUAAUUAUUCUAAUAUUUCCCUUAACUAAGCAUUUUAUUUUUACACAACUCUUGACAAACCGCAUGAAAAUGAUUAUAAUUUAAUACGCUUGGGUUGUAUGUAUGUAAUGGAAUCUUAGAGCUCAAUUUUCAUAGGUUUCCCGAAGUCUGAUCAACUUCAAACUUUGCAAACGUGUCAAGGACCGAUGACAAUGCAAUAAUUUGAUAACAGUUUCCCAUUAUUUUAAAGGUGGGCAUAACCCCGCAUUGUGAGAAAAGCGUGGAAUAGUUUGUGCCAUAUUUUUCGUAUAUAAAGCACAUCACACUUUUCUUACAAUAGUACAAAUAUAUUUCGGGCAAUAUUCCUGUCAGUUUAUAUAAGAAAUUAUUUUUUCUCUUUUAAGCUUGAAGUGGUUUAAAAGCUUUAUUUAGUUUUUUAAAACUAUACUUAUUUUCUAAAUUAAUUUAUUUUUAGCUUCACUUCUAGAAUGAUGCAAACUAGCCAUUGUUUCAAACAUGCCAUCUCAAAAACGUAAGAUAUUGACAUUUGUUAUGCCCGAAACAUAAACAUCAAAGUCAAAAAGACUGUUAUGUUAUGUUCUGUAAUGGAAUGUAGACGAGGUUCGCCACCACGCGGUAUCCUGGGUAACUCUAAAUGACCUGCGACCUUUUAGGCGUUCUGCGGAUUUGACCUUUGCUCGAUUCGGACACAGUUUGGACUAUUUGAGUAUGCAGAUGUGAUACCCUGCAGAAAUGACUGAUGCGCUAAUGAUAAGGUCGCCUCUGUCCCGUUAAAACAACAGCAGGACUCGGAGUUCAUUCCCCUCCUGUCAUGAUUAAGUUGGUGUGCCCUGAAUGUAUUCCCUCAUAAGGGCGUGCGUUAAUCCUCGCCUUGGCCUCGUAACUGAGACAACCUUGAGACCAUAAGAGGUGACUACCUUUCCGGGAGGUGAAUAGCGGUUCUGAGUCGGGACCCAAUUACAAUGAAUAAAACAACAACCCAACUAAGGACGAGGGAGGAAGCAGGUGGAAACCGUCCUCUGCUAAAGUGACGGUCCUUUUUUUUUGAAGCAUCAAAUUGCUUUCGGUGCGGUGUUUUUUGAAUUCCGCCCAAACCUGCUGCUUUUUGCUCCUAAGUAGUGAAAUGUUCUUAUUCCACCAAGGUACAGAUGGUUUACGGGUAACGUUUUUUGCUUGGGGUAUAUGGAAAUGCUAGAUGAUGCUACAUUUAGUUUGUUGUGGGUAAUCCCUUUUUUAAUGUAUACACUUCUGCCUUGCUUAUUUCUUGUACUUAGCGUAUGAUUGUGAAAGUAUGCUACGUAGGCGUGGGGUUGCUAUUGAAGGGCAAAUGAGUGUCUUGCAACGAAACAAUGCAUACAAUGCUAGGGUUAUUGUCUUUUAUAAGUAGAUGUAAAUGUAAUAGAAUGUAGAUGUAAUUGUCCCAGUAUCCAUUAAGAUUCCAUUGCAAAAUAGUGGUAAUUUUGACUUAUGAAUAUGUCUUAAAAUAAGCUGGAGGAUGCUGUAUAUUAUAUAAUAUGCCAGAUUACACAGGUUUUCAUUAAUAUUUCAAGAGCACUAGUCGCCCACAGGAUCGCUCGGUAUGGAGUACUAAACAAAUUAGUAUCUGCCCAAGACAACAAUUUUAGUCAAAACUUGGAUUCUAGUUGUCAAGCAUAUACGAAUUUCACCAUAUCAUCUGCAGCCAAAAGGGUUAAUGGAACGUUUUCAUUGGUUGGACACUCUAGCAGUUUCACUUUUUGAUAUUCGAGCAGUUUAAACGGAAGAUAAAACAAACCGCUAGUCGAACACGUUUACUUACAUACAAAGGAUAAUUUUUUUUAUUUUAAGAACAAUAUGUUUCGGUACUAAAAGAUCACAUUGAAAUUUAAUUUUCACCACACUACGAAGGAUCGUACUUUUUUUGAGAAGUGGCGUACUGCUGCAAAUAGCAUCACCUGUACAGAGGAAUGUUUUGACUUUAAAUUGUCUUUUCUCAUUUCAGCUAUUAAGUUGCAACCAAGGGUAACAAUGUGCAAAUCUUAUGUAUUUUAGUGCUGAAUGAAAUUUGAUGUUAACUGUUGCAAAAAAUUAAAAUAUCUCACUUUUGAACGACCAAAAAACAACAUACGUUGGCAACACAUUAAAUGUAUUUAUCCAGUAGGUACCGUUAUAAUUGUCUGAUAUUAUUUGCGUAUGAUAAGUGGAACUGUAUUUGGUAAGCAAAUUUCUUUUAUGAUGUUGUAGGUUUGCAAAAAAAAAAAGAUAAACAAACAGACAUUUCAAGAUUUGCAGGCUCUGUUAUUCAAAUAAUGUCAGGGGAAAAAAGUACUUGCGAAAUAGGCAAUACUGUCAAAAAACCACAUACUACUUUUUGGUACAUUAUUGCUAAAUUCAAGACUGCUGAAGUUGAAAGACUUAAUGGUAGUGAAAGGUCCAAAAAAUUCGAUCGCACCAGUCUUAAAAUAAAGUUCAUCGGAAAAUCAAAAAACACCCCAAAAUAUCCGAUGUCGCUAUCGCCAAGCAGUUGGAGGAAGCUGGCAUUGCAAAAAGCCACCCUCAAUCUCUUAAUAACAUCUCGGUUUCACCUAAUUUUAGAGUGUAAACACCACGAAACCAUCUAAACAUAUCGAAGAGAAAUAUAGUAUAUCCACCGUGACAAUAAAUUUUGGGAUUCUGUAACUAUUACAGAUGAGUCUAAAUUUAAUUUCUUUGGAUCUAGUGGUCUUCAAUUUGUAUGGUGUAAGGAAGUCUACCCACUGAAAGAUAAAUAUUUAAUUUGCCUCCGUCAGCAGCUAAACUUCAUUUAAAUGGUAGGUUCUGCGACCGGAAGCAUUUUGCUUUAGCGGUUAGGGAUUGGUUGUUUGUUAACGUCAAAAAAAGGCAGCCGCAUCCUCCUCAGAGUUCAGACCUUACGAGAGCGCAAAGUCAGAAGCAGAAAUGAGAAUGAGGUAAGUCUUCAGGAAAAAUGGGCAUAUAUACUUCUUGGACUUAUACCAAAUUUGGUGCAAUUUUAAAUAUGGAGUCAUUUUAGAUUUCUAAACAUAUUGCAAAAGCUUUAUUUUUUCAAAGAUAUUUCAAUUAUUAAAACGGACUUUUUCACACUUUUGGAUGCAACUCAAAAGUUUUAAUAGUUUAGACGAUAAGUCAAUUCAAAUCUGCCUAUAUACGUUUUUUGGUUGUAUGUGUUUGUAAAUCGUAAUUGCUUUAAUUAAAUAUAGUUACUAGUAUACAACGUUGAGACAGAAGCCUGUUGAUCUCUAGAAGGAUAAAAGCAGAAUAAAACGAUGCUUGAACGACCGUUGCUCCUUUUUUGGAUGCUUGAACGACCUUUGCUCCAAAUUUUGUUCUACGGUGCAGUAGUUUAAUGGACAGGCUUACGUAAAUCUACCUACCGGAAAAAAGAAGAAAAAAAAAAACAAAGAGUACAAAAACAGUUUAGACAUAAAAAUCUAUUAGACGAAUUGAAAUUAUUAAGCGAAAGAGAUUAUCAUAGCUUUUCGCGAACGGAUUCAUAAACCUUCAAUGAACUUUUAAAUGUGGUUAAGCCACCAAUACAAAACAAUACACAGUAAUGCGAGAAGCUAUUACGCCAAAUAUUAUUCAUAAAUUAAAGAUUUUAAAUAAUUAAGAGUUCAUUGAGUUUUAACAUCUUCCCAACAAGACAAUGUAUAAUAAUUUUUUGGUUUCGUCCGCAACUUGUUCAUCUUUCAACUUUCACUAUGCAAAUUAGGUUUUGCUUCUCAAACAUGAGUGAAGACCUUCAAAUUAGCAGCCGUCAAAUUAAAAUAUUAAAAACUUUUAAUGACAAUAAGUCAGUGAAGCAUUGAUGGAAUUAUUUGACCAUCUCCAAGGCCGUUAGAGAUCACAGGAUUUUAUUGUUUGCUUAUAAAUACUUUAUGAUAUGUACUAUAUAUUGUAUUAUAACUCGACGUACAUAUAUUUAUUGUCAAGCGGACCAUGCUCUGUCAUUGGCGACUACUAUGCGUUCUGUAUAUGUUGACCGCCAUAACGGAUUACGAAAUUUUUGAACGUUUAGUAUUCAAUAUUGAUGGAUUGCGAUUGUGGGAUUGUGAAUCCUGCGAUACAUAUUGAAUGUUAAGCACAUUUGGAAAAAAGCAUUGAAAAAAAUUCAAAACGUGUGUUUUAAAAAAAAAAUUAUUGUUUAUUUAUAUUUAUGUGCAAAUUUUAGCAUUUUCAAAGAUCUGGUGAAUUUUUCAUGGUUCUUAGUAUAUUUUACUCUAAGCUUUUCGUUAAAUUUAUUAACAAACGAAAAAUUAAACAAAUGAUGAAGGGAAACCUUUGUUUAAACUCUUUCUAUCAAAGAUAUGGUUUAUUACAAAUCUGGCGCGAUAAGUAUUGAGCGUGUAGCAUUCACUCGCUAUUCAUCAAUCCUCAAUAUGGAUCACGAUUCUAAUAUCACAAAAAAUAUUGAAAGUGUGACAGUCGCAUUAAAAAAUCCUUAGUCAAAUAAAAUGAUUUUGCUACUUUUCUACAAAAUUAGAUGUACAUUAAGAUCUGUAAAUUAACCAUUGUAUAAGCCUACAAGUAACUGAAGAAUCAGCAUUUAUAAUGGACAAUAUUAAUAAAUACUUUCAAGAAUAUUUUCAAAACAAAAGGUUAUUAUAUAUUUAUUGCUUUUCUUCACCACGUCUGAGGUUGUAAUAUAGGCGCGUUACCGAUGUAUUUUGGGUGUUCAGUUCCCCAGGAGGCCUUAAUUACAAUUAAGUUGAAAUUUUCAUUUUUUGAGGCAACCCGUACGAAGUGGACCAUUUUUGCGUGUGUUUGUGAAAGUCUCAGGAUUGGUUACUUGUAGAUGAAUGAAUGAAUGAAAUCAACUACAUGAGUACUAUAUACAUGUUUUACUUGCUUCUUACUUAAAUAAUAAAAUGCUGGAGGAGACAAGAACAUGAAAAGUAUAAUUUCUGUCAUGAACGGAAUAAAUAAAAACGAAAAUAAUUGCACACGAAUUAUAUUAUAAUAUUAUUUAUUACUAGCGGACCCAACAGACGUUGUCCCACGACUUAAUUGUAAAGUUUUUGAAAUUAGCUGGAACAAUUAGACCGUUUUGAUGAAAAUUUUCAUUAGAAAAUUAUAACAAUAUCUAACGUCAUUCAUAUACAUAUAUUUAUCACAAUUCGACCAAUAGCGUUCAUCGCAAAUGAAAAGCAGAUGGGAAAUUGUAAACGUUCAAAUGGUAUCGGCGAAUCCGAAGGAAUCACUGGAAUCCGUGGCAAAAGUACAACUUCACCUUGAGAUUUUCCACUCAAAAUAGUGGAUAGUCUUUUGAAAUUGAUAGUGUCGACAUCUACAUUUUUCGCUGCUAAAAUAGCUUGUUCACGUAGCCAUGUAUGGCUUGUAUAAUUAUAUCGUAAACAUAAAUAUACUUUUGAAUAUCUGACACGACUUCAGCGGAGUCUGCCGAAAUUCUAUGUAAAAUAUUCUAACAUCAACAUCAAUUUAUAAAUAAAUAAAUUCAUUGUUAAAACAUUAUCUAGUUGAUCGAAUUGUGAGUCUAAACCAUUCUCA